AUGUUACGACAUCCACUGUGGGGAGCCAUCUGCUUGCUCGCCGUCUCGCUGGUCCUGUGCACAGACAAGCUCUGCACGGACGCCAGGCCGUCCGCCUACGCGCUCCUGGUCGACGACGACGACGACGAGGAAGACGGCGGCGACGGCUCGUCGUCCUUCUCCUUCUCCUCCCCGCAGGCGACGCCGGACGAACUGGCAUUCGGGUUCUACGACGGGACAUGCCCCAACGCCGAGGCCGUCGUCGCGUCCACCGUGCGGGAGCUCUUCGCCGGCGACCCCAACGUCGCCGCCGCGCUCGUGCGCCUCUUCUUUCACGACUGCUUCGUCCACGGCUGCGACGCCUCGGUGCUGCUGGACCGGAUCGGCGGCGGCGGCAAGUCGGAGAAGGACGCCGCCCCGAACCGCUCGCUGCGAGGCUUCGGCGCCGUCGACAAAAUUAAGGCGAGGCUGGAGAAGCAGUGCCCGGGGACCGUCUCCUGCGCCGACAUCUUGGCACUGGCCGCGCGGGACAGCCUCGUACUCGUGGGCGGGCCGACCUACCCAGUACUCACUGGCCGCCGAGAUAGCGCCGGGAGUUUCUACGACGACGUGAACAUCCCGGCCCCGAACGCCACCUACGCCAUGACGCUCAGCGCGUUCGCCCGCCGCGGCUUCACCGAGCGCGAGACCGUCGCGCUCUUAGGAGCACACAGCAUCGGGAAGGUGCAGUGCAGAUUCUUCAGGGACAGGAUCUACAACUUCGCCGGGACCGGCGAGCCGGACGACUCCCUGGACGCGGACAUGGUCGGCGAGAUGCGGGCCGUGUGCAGCGGAGACGGCGCGGCGCCGAUGGAGAUGGGGUACUACCGGCAGGGACGGGAAGUGGGGUUCGGCGCGCACUACUACGCGAAGCUCCUCGCGGGGCGGGGCAUCCUGCGCUCGGACCAGCAGCUCACGGCGGGGAGCACCGUGCGGUGGGUGCGCGCGUACGCGUCCGGGCAUCGCGGCGAGGAGGCUUUCCGCGAGGACUUCGCGCACGCCAUGGUUAAGCUGUCCGCGCUUGCGCCGCUCACAGGGUCGGCCGGGCAGGUCCGGAUCAGCUGCUCCAAGUCCGUUGAGUAG
rnacentral:rRNA from 1 species